GGAGGCCUCUGGGAUGCGUAGUCCCGUGUACGUGAAGAGGGGCCGGGCCGAGAGCGGGCCGGGGGUCUCUCAGCAUUCGCGCGGAUCUGCGGAGCGCAGAGCAACCCCACAGCCGCCGGCCGACUCCUGAUCGCAACCCCCUCUGCUGACGGGAGCCACGAGGCCGUGGGAGGAGCGUCGUCGCUGGUCCCGGCCUGCACCGCGGCCCCGCCAUGAGGGCAGCCGCAGGGGGGCGGCCUGGGCUGGGGCCUUGCAGUGAGAGCCCUGCUGCCCUCGUACUGUGGGGAUAAGGAGAGGAAAGCGGGUCACACGGCACAGCACGUGCCUGCCUGCGGACGCCCAGCUUUGCCCAAGGGGAGCUGCUGCGCCUGGGCCCCAGGAGCUGCGUGGUGGCAUUCACCCACUUCUCUGGGGCCGCUUUGUGGUCCUGUUGCUACUCUGCCCCUUCAGGAGCCUUUCUCCCAGGAAUUGGCCUUCCCUUACAACCAGCCAUUCUCUCAGGGUCGUUGUGCUGCCAUCAGGAUGCAUCAGGAAGCACGAGCAGCUCUCUUCCAGCCUCAGCGCCCCCCCUGUGCCAUUCCCCAUUCAUUUCCAACAUCCCACUCGUUGCUUUUUGCCAGCCACCAAACUGUGAGGAGAAGGGAACAUAUCAGAGGGGCCGCGUGUGUGCAAUGACUGACAGCGCACUUCAAGAAGAGUGGCAUUGUCUCUGCAUCUCCCUUUCCUAGAAAAUGCCUCAUUUUGACAACAUUAUUUCCAAGUGAGGUAAUGUAACUAAAUAGAGCAAACCCAUCACUGCCUACAUCUUCCCAGGCGCUGUGAAGCUGUGCCAGUAAACUGCAGGGCCAUCUUGCACUCUGCUCUCUCAGCCAUCAUUUGAGGUUCAGCUCUUACAGUGGAGGUAAAUAGCGCGUUUGCAUGAGCAGGAGGUGGUUGGGAAACAUUCCCAGUGCAGUGGAGUGUGCAGUGUUGCUGGGGCAGGUCGGAACAUCAGACCUUCUGGAAUGUGGAAUGUAAACAGAGCGUGUUACUAGCAACAGCUCAGCUUUGUGCUAUAACCCCAACCACUGCGUUGUCCCUCAGGAGGAGCUAAUGCCAAGCUCCCUCCGGCUCAAAUUGCAACCCAGGGCCACAUGUCACUCGUUAUAUUGGGUCAAAUCAUGACUGAAGAAAAAGCAGUGCCUCUUUUGCCCACCAUUCCAGUAGCCUUGGGAUUUUCAGCUCUUGCAGUUCCAGCCUCAGCCUCUGUGAAAACUAAUAACCAGCAGCAGCAGGGCAGCAAAAAUCACCCUGGACGUGGACUGGAAAGAAGAGCUGUCAGACAAGACCUGUGAAGCAGGCUCUGCCUGAAUGACCCAGCCCAGGUCACAGAGUCAGGGAUGCCCAAGGUCCCCUGGUCACCUCCAGCCCAGCAAGUGCUGAGCAGCAACCACUGCAGCUCAGCUAAGCCACACUUUUUAUUGUAAUCCAUGCAAUAUGUUUGUGUUUUAUAGUAUGACAGAGGAAAGGAUAAAGAUAAAUGUUAGACAUAAAACAAAAGCAAAAAGGUCAUUUGUAACAGGUCCUGAGAAGGAAAGGCACAUCGUAACCACAGAAUUCAACAGAACGGAAACCUUGGGCAGAGGAAGACAAUUCUGGAAAGUGGAGAAGGGAGGGGGGUGUUUCACGUUGGGCAAUAUGGAAGCAGGUUUGACAGCAAUAUGUACUUCCCCACCCACCGAAGUCUGCAGUUCAAAUGGGUUUGGGGACCUCACUUUUCAACCGAACCACUUCCACACUGCCAUUGCUGGAGACAGUCCAGGAUCCCAGCUUCUCCAGGCUCAGUCAGCACCAAGGGGCAGCCCAGGGCUCAGGAAGAUCCUUCCUGUAGGGGUGAGCUGGGAGCGCUUCAUGGGAGAACAAGGGAUGGCAGCAUUGCUGGUGACCUGUGGAUAUUGCUAUUUGCUGACAUCAAACGCUGUGGGGCUGGGGCAGGAGAACAGGUACAGCAGUAAAACAGUUGGCACGGAACCUGGCACAUCUCUGUCAGGUCAGAAACUGGAGGAAGUGUAGCACCUCAGAGGGAAGCAGCAGCAAAACCAAGUGCUGUGCCUGAUUUAAGGCAGCGAUUGCCGCUUGUGAUCCAGCACCAGGAAGCACGGGAGUCCUGUUGGAGCAGCAUGGGAGUCCUGUUGGAGCAGCACGAAGGGCUCCAGGCCAGGCUGGGACACUGAAACUUCUGGGAACUGCCACAGUGGGAACCAGAACCAAACCAGCAUCGAGUGCAGCACUGCGCUUGCACUGUUGCUCCUAGGAGGCAACUAGGCACAGAUCUCUUUGAGCACGCAGCCCUGCUGCAGCACAGAUACAAUGGCAUCUUAUCUUAGCUUGCAGGAGAUGGCUCAGCUUCACUUUAGGAUGGUUCUGUCAUCACUUGGCUGUAACAGAGCCAGCCUUGCUCCUGGAACCAGAUGUUAAAGGGUGUUUGCAAGUUAAGGAGUGAGCAUUUAGCAGCCCAGAUGUCUUCUUUAGCUCAUUAUCUGUGACCCUCUCCCAGUCCCUCAAAGCCAUCUCAAAGGCUGCAGCUGGGCUGAAAUAGGCAGCAAGAGAGCAGACGUGGGGUAGGACUGAGCCCAGUGCCUUUCCUGAGCAGCACAAGCUGGCAAUGGGGCAGCAGCUGGGCACGGGUCUCUGCCAAGGUGGGCAGUGCAGACAAGCAGGGGUCCCACAGCACUGGGGCAGGGACAGAGCUUGAGAGGUUUUACUCAGACCUUUUGCCGUUGCCUCCAUGGACUCUGCGCUGGCUCUGGGAAAGGGCUGAGCCAUUGCUUGGCCAAGGAAUCAUUCAGUCUGUGGCACAGAUUGUAAACUUUAGUCCCUGCUGAGAGAUAAACUAGGUUUGGAUCUGGCCUCCAGGUGAAAGGCUCCUUAACUCCUUCUGCCUGGCUGCUGGCUGAGCCUGUUACAGCUGUCCCCUUGCAGCCCAGCCCCAGGGCACUGCAAAAUCCCAACAGCUCUGCGGGAAAGCCUCUGAAGGUCUAGCCCAGUAAAGCCUGUGUGAGGCAGGAGAAGAGGUAAACAGGAGCCAGGCAGCGGCCUGCUAUCACACCAUUACCUCUACGCCUAACAGUGGCAAUGCUGCACCAUGCUGUGCUGUCAUUACCUGCAGAGAUAAUGGUACAUGGUGAGGGUGUUCCACCCCACUGCCAGCACUCAAGACUCAGAGCUGUGAGGGGGUAGUGAGCAGGCAGGCAGUGCCCCAUGGCAUGGCUGCCUCCCAAAGGCCAUAGGGAGCAGUGAACAGCAGCCAUGCCAAGGUAGGCAGAUCAAGUGUUGAGCCCUGGAGAGGGGACCAGGUCCCAGCAGUCUUACCCCUGCUGCUCUCAGGAUACGACGAUGGCUUGGAGCUCAGGGUGUGGGGCACAGGCUGGGUGCAGGGCUGGAGCCGAGGGAGAUGGGAGGAGCCUUCCUCUUCAGCUAUAGGAAACCACUCUGGUGGGGGCUUUUCUCCUGGGCAAGCUGUGCUGCAGCAGGAAGCAGAAUGGCAGCCCACAACCAUGAGGGGCAAUGUCCAGAAGGCUGGGCAGGAGCUGGCACCUGCAGAGAGCAGCAUCCACAAUUCAGCUGCAUUGCUUCCUCUUUGUGCACAAGCUCUGCGUGCUCUGCUGCAAUGGACAAAGCCUACUUUUCACAUAGCUUCUUUCUCCAGAUGCAGAGAUCUCAGCAUCCCAGCAUCUCUGCAGCCAGUCCUGGUGGCACCACCACAGCCUCCACGGUCUCACUGGCACCCCACAGAGCUGGGGCUCCUCCAGCACCUCCUUCUGGUCCUUGAGGUUUAAUCCACAGCAUCUCUCCCAGCUGCAGGAGGAAAGGGGGCUGAUACCCCACAACCUCCCCUAACCAACAUCACCUGGCAAGUUCACAACUGUCGCCAAGCAGAGGAGAGAGGAUGAGGUGCAGAUAUAUCCCCUGGUUUUGUCAUGGAGUUUGGUGGGAAAAUCAUCCUCUUCCAGCUCCUGGCUUGGGACAAGGAGCACCGAGGGGGCACGUGUGCCCAGAGGCAGCCCAGCCUGUGGCCACUGCCAUGCUCAGACACGGGCAGGGAAGAGGAGGUCAUGCCCACGAUCGUGCACCACAUAGACACAC